GUUGCCGUCACUACGGACAAUGACCUACAGAACUGACAACCCUUCGGCCUGCAUCACCACGCCUGCUUAGAAACUGGAUUAGGCAACUUUUGCAUUCCCUUGGCACUACGUUUUGGAACAUACAAACCAAUUCCAGGUAAAUGGAAUUGAUGUGAAAGGUAAACCAGCAAAGCUUUGAGAAGAUUAUACAUAGAGGAAGACAUCCUUAUGACCUUGGAAUAGACAAAAAAAAUCUUGAAUAAGACAUGGAAAGGAAAAGAUGGAUACAUUGAACUACAUUAAAAUUAUAAACUUCUGUUUAUCAAAAACAUUAUUUGAAAAGGCAAACCAUGGAAUGGAAGAAGAGAGUUGUCACACAUAAUUCUUAAAGAUCUCAAAUCCAGAAUAUUUAAAGAACCUUUACAAGCAAAAAGAUAAGGAAGACAGGCAACCCAAUAUGAGACUUGUUGAAGGCCAGAGACUUGAACAGACUCUCUCUCCUCCCUCACCAAGGAUAUGUAAGUGGCCACUGCAUUUGUCAAACAUCCAGGGAGGAGGCAGCUUUGGCUCAGGUUGCACGCUGAUAACCUUGAGACAUGGGCAAGUGAGUACUUUUCUGAUCUUUGCCACCAGGGACUAAGAGUGUACAGGGUGUUCCUUCCAGACCAGGUGUGGCCACAGGACUGUGGGCCCAGUGGCUGGUGGGAGGGGUGGGGGUGUGUGCCUAUGCCCAGAUCCCUGGGGAUGCUAUCACUUAGGAAAGCUGCAUUCAGUUCUCCCUGGGGAGCAAGUUCCUAAUCUCGACUGUUCUAAUGAAAGCAAAGGCAUGAAAGCAAAACCUGGGGAGGCGUGUCACCUUUCUAUACCAUUUGACUUUUAAAAAAUACACACUGUUCCUUUUGUGGUUGGUCAAUUAACACAUUUCUCCAAAAGAUGUUAGGUUAACAAACUAACUUUUAAAAAAAUGCCAAGGACGCCCUAGCCCAGUGGUUUUUAACCUGUGGGUCGUGACCCCUUUGGGGGUCGAACGACCCUUUCAUAGGGGUUGCCUAAGACCAUC